AUUAUAUUUCUCUCACAACAACAAAAAACAAACUCGACUUGCCUUGGUGUACGCUGUAUUGGAGGUAAAGAGAGUGUUUUGUUCUUCCGAUUUAGUAUUACACUUCGUUCCUGUCCUGACUGAAUUGUCUUUAAAACUUAAACCAUAUUAUUCAUAUAUGUUUUUCCCGGAAAUAUAAUCUUAUGAUGCAUCGAGUAGUGGUCCUGAGUUUUAUAUUCAUCGUAUUACUUCUCUUCGGUUCUGCCGACAGCCAAGAGGAUCGACAUACGGGGGAAAGAUUGUAUGAUCAGCAAACCUUGAAAGAAAUGAAGGCAUCCCCGCUCAUCAGAAAGAUGAAAAGAUCCAUUGACGACUUUUUGAGCAGACGCCCAGAUUUCAGAAGAGUAUGACAACCUGUCGCACCGUAGAGCAGACAUGGAAAUCGCAACUGUCUACCUUGGCUCUUCCCAACCCUCAUGCUUAUGGGAUUGUUCAUUCAGAGACCGAAAAUAACAGCUGAGCAGAUGAUUAAACUGUAAAUAGAAAGACGAUGUCCAUGAUAAUUUCUAUGUAGAGAAAGAAUGGAGGCUUUAAUGCAAAUAAGAAAAAUAGAGAUAACAAGAUCUUAAGAUGUUCAAUAUGUACAUGUAUAUCACAUGAAGGAAAUGAUUAUCUAUCGAAACAAAACGUAAAUAUCUUGAUAGGAUCAAGGGAACAUUUACUUUCAUUUCUGAUUUGUCCGUCGAUAGAGAUAGUGAAGAAAAAGGCACAUUAAUCAAAGUGUAUGUAUAAUAUCGACAUUUGGGAGUCACAGCUUUUUUUUACACUAAUGGAUGAGGGUGGUAUUUUAAAAGCAAUUUUUAUUAGACAAAAACUGAAUAAUUGGAGAACAUUUUCUCGUCGUCUGUAAGGUAAAGUCUAUCUGUAGGAAACAUCGCCUUGUCAUUUAAAUAAGGUGGCAAUUAUAGACCUACACCAAUAACUUUUAUUCAUACUAGACGAAGAUUUAUUAAACUUUAUAGAUUUAGUUUGAAUGCGAAUGUUGAAAAAACGGAAGUUGAUUUGAUCUGAAUUAAGAGCCAGUGUAAAAUGAAAUAUGGUAAAUCUGUAUUAAUACCCUCCUUUUUAUGUAAAUGCAUUGACCGUGUCAACGUGAACGGAUAAAUAAAAUAUUUUACCUUGAAAAUGA